rnacentral:rRNA from 1 species
GUGGGGAAUCUUAGACAAUGGGGGAAACCCUGAUCUAGCCAUGCCGCGUGAUCGAUGAAGGCCUUAGGGUUGUAAAGAUCUUUCAGGUGGGAAGAUAAUGACUGUACCACCAGAAGAAGCCCCGGCUAACUCCGUGCCAGCAGCCGCGGUAAUACGGAGGGGGCUAGCGUUGUUCGGAAUUACUGGGCGUAAAGCGCACGUAGGCGGAUUGGAAAGUUGGGGGUGAAAUCCCGGGGCUCAACCCCGGAACUGCCUUCAAAACUCCCAGUCUUGAGUUCGAGAGAGGUGAGUGGAAUUCCGAGUGUAGAGGUGAAAUUCGUAGAUAUUCGGAGGAACACCAGUGGCGAAGGCGGCUCACUGGCUCGAUACUGACGCUGAGGUGCGAAAGCGUGGGGAGCAAACAGGAUUAGAAACCCUAGUAGUCC